UAGUCCACGCUGUAAACGAUGAUCACUCGAUGCUGGCGAUACACUGUCAGUGUCCAAGCGAAAGCGUUAAGUGAUCCACCUGGGGAGUACGGUCGCAAGAUUGAAACUCAAAGGAAUUGACGGGGGCCCGCACAAGCGGUGGAGCAUGUGGUUUAAUUCGAUGAUACGCGAGGAACCUUACCAAGGCUUAAAUGUAAGUUGAUCGUCUGUGAAAGCAGUCUUUUCUUCGGAACAAUUUACAAGGUGCUGCAUGGUUGUCGUCAGCUCGUGCCGUGAGGUGUCGGGUUAAGUCCCAUAACGAGCGCAACCCCUAUCCUUAGUUGCCAGCGAGUAAUGUCGGGGACUCUAAGGAAACUGCCCGUGCAAACGGUGAGGAAGGUGGGGAUGACGUCAAAUCAUCACGGCCCUUACGUCUUGGGCUACACACGUGCUACAAUGGCCGGUACAGAGGGAAGCUACCUGGUGACAGGAUGCAAAUCUCGAAAGCCGGUCUCAGUUCGGAUCG
rnacentral:rRNA from 1 species